UACGAAGGGGGCUAGCGUUGCUCGGAAUCACUGGGCGUAAAGCGCACGUAGGCGGAUUUCUAAGUCAGGGGUGAAAUCCUGGAGCUCAACUCCAGAACUGCCUUUGAUACUGGGAAUCUUCGAGUCCGGGAGAGGUGAGUGGAACUGCGAGUGUAGAGGUGAAAUUCGUAGAUAUUCGCAAGAACACCAGUGGCGAAGGCGGCUCACUGGCCCGGUACUGACGCUGAGGUGCGAAAGCGUGGGGAGCAACCAGG
rnacentral:rRNA from 1 species